AGCGACCUUUGUGUCGCGCUUUAAUAUAUAGGAAUGUCCGCACCGUGACCCACAUAUAAAAAUAGGUCCGCAUCGCGACCUCUAGGCUUCCAAGCGCCACCGCUGAUCUUUUCGCUGGAGAAGCUGAAGCGACACGAAUCUGGAGAGCCGAUCCGCAGUUUUGGCGACAACAAAAGGGUCUAGUCCAUAGACUCGAGAGUUACGGAUCGAAACAAAGAGCCGAUCCAAAGUCCAAGCAGACCAGAAUUAACAUGGGAGUCAAAUCUACCCGAGCCGAUAACUCGGCCCAGUCACACUCGAGGGCUACCGUGUUGAAGAUAUACUAGUGUAUGGCGCGCGCCCAUGCGCGCGUGCCAAUCCGUUUAGCAGCAUAGUAUCUCUACUACUCUAUAAGAGUGUAGUGUAGACUUCACAACCCGUGCACCAUGGUUCUGCCUCCGACACCCUCUCGCCCGUGCUCCGUUGAUCCCGCGGUCCUCGCCCAGCCUCAGUAAACCACUCUCGCAUGUGGCCGCGCGUUGCCUGCCUCCCUCGCUCUCUAUCGAUGGAAGGACGCAAUUCAGGGAAGCCUCCGCAGCCGCCCUGCCAUUCUCGCCCUCGCCCAACACUCCAUCGAUGGAAGGGCAUGGUUCCAGGGAUUGCCUCCCCAGCAGAUCCCACCAUCCUCGCCCCGCCUGCACUCCGCCAUCCUCGCUGCCACCAUCCACAAGGCAACACCAUGCCCCCGCUCCUCUACCAUCCACGCCAUCCUCGCCCCACGCCCGCCCACACACCUCGCCAUCCUUCUCCUCCUCCGCGCAGGUCCUCGAUGCCCCUUCCCCCACCCCUGUCGUCCCCGCAUAUUCGGAUCCGGGGUUCGCUCGGGUUGCCUCCUCGCCGGGGACCCACCAUGGCGGUCAGGGAGCAUGGUGGGUGGGGGAGAUGGGGAGGAGCGGAGGAAGCACGACGUCCUCUAGGAAGAAGCACAGCCGCAGCCGCCCGCAGGCUAUGGACGAUGACAUCGACAGCUCCUGCUCCACCCCGUUCGCCAGCGCGCCGUCCAGCCCCGGACGUCCCCACGCCAUCAGCGGCGGAAGCGGAGGCGGAGGCUACUUCUUCAGCGCGCCGGCCAGCCCCAUCCACCACCUCCUCCUCUCGACCUCGUGCUCGGCCUCCGCGACUCCCAGCACCGGUGGGCGUGGGUGCGUGGGCGACGUGGAGUUCGAGUUCGGCGGGCCUGGCGGGCCCAUGAUCUCCGCCGACGAGCUCUUCCACAACGGCCAGAUCCGGCCGCUCACCCUGCCCCCGCUCAGAAUAGAGCGAUGACGACCUGAAAGAGCUUCUGCAGCUAGCUCCAAUAAAGAAGGUAAUUUUCGACCACCAACACCUACACUUCCUUCCUGGCCUACACCGUAGAAAGCAGAGAAGCAUUCCUCUCCUGCCCUCACUCUGGUUGGUGAUGCUCCAAUUUUUACCCCUAACCCCCAAGGCGACAACUUUCAAGAUCCAGAAGUUGAUGCAAAUGCCAUAUAUGUGCGCAGUCAAAUGCCAUGCCACAACAAUUAGAGGAUGAGUUCAAGAGAUUUGGUGCCAUUAAACAUGAAUGCAUCCAAGUUAGAAGUAAUAAGUGUCGGCUGUGGUGGAGCGGCUGUGGUCGCUCUCGCUCAAAUCCACCACCAAGAUAGCAGCGAGCGAGGGCAAGUCAAUGGUGAAGUAAUAGGGUUUUGGGAGCCGCAUCAUGCAUGUGCUGCUAACCGGAACCUUGCCUUGUCUGUUGCUCAAUGUGUAUGUCUAGGCCGUGGCGAGAUUGUACGAGGCUCUGGACAGAUGCGAGGAGAUUCUUGGCAAGCGACGCUAUAUUUGUGGCGACCAGCUGACUUAAUCAGACAGAUUGCGGAAUGAAUGCACCGAGCUGAGAAAGGACAGAACAAAGAAAGAUCUUAAAAUCUGAAAAAACCUAAUGUGAGGCGGUCGCGCCUGCUCUGCCGAAAGUGCGGGGGCACAUCGGCAGCGCCUACGGGGAGGAGGACGCCAGGGAAGCCGGCUCCUCCAGCCUCUUCGGCGGUGACGGCUCCUCGGACGACACGCAUCCGAGCUCCGGCUCGGGCCACCGCAGCAGCGUCGCGUCGAGCCAGAAGAGGUACGUGGUCAGGAUCAGCGCGCUGCAGCCGUCGUCGGAUGACUCUGCUGUCGUUUCCUUCACGCAUCGUUGAAGCAGAUGUCGAGUUGGUGUGCUAUGUUCUUCUUCCAGCCUGGAUGAAUUUGAAUUUGGUGUAACCUGGGAUGGCGAUGGACUGCAGGAGGACGAAGUGGAGCAAGGAAAGAUCUUUCUUGGCGUGUCUAGACUUUUCAGAGGCUCAGUGGUGACAUCAGCUGAGGUCCGUUAGUUUGCCUGUGCAGCCAUGCCUCAAAUCUAGAACACCAUGCGGCAAAACUGCACACUCCUAGCUGUUCUUUGUGGGGAGUUUGCUGAGAAGCAGCGGACACCAGCUUCCCUGGCGCUAGGCACAAAGCGGUUGCGGCUGUCAUACCCUUUCCUUGAGCUCGCUUCGUUUGGGAGACUGGAGGUGCACACGCUAAUCAAUCCCACUCAGGCGGUGCAUCUUGUCUUCUUGUCUCUAGGGGCAGCAGCAAGAGAAUGAGGAGAUUGGCACGCUUGUCUGGGGUGAUACAGAUUUAUCUGACCCGCAGAUGUUUGUCUCACACCUUUGUAUGAGUUUUUAAAUAAGUUGUACUUAUCCAAACUUGCUUCACUUAAUCUUAUCUAUCAAAUUCCCAUGUACAAUUACAUACUCCAUCUGUUUAUGAAUGUAUGUCGUUUUGGAUGUGAAUACGCUUCAUGGGGCAACCCUAGCAGUGUGGCUACUACUAGCUAACUAGCAUUAUAUGUUGAUGAACACUAUGCAAAUAAUGUAUGAGGGAGUAUCUUUUUUAUGAUGGACAUUUCAUUUUACUUUUAUUUGGUUAGUCUUGGUUAUUGUUCAUAUGUUAUAGCCAAAUUUAAACUUCUCAAUAUCACGUACCCAAAUCAACAUACAUUAUAAAACCGAGUUUAAGAGUUAGCACAUGUUCCACUGUUUCUACCAUCGUCCAGUUUUCACUAUUUCCAUCAUCAAUACUUUUGUAAAAAAAACUUUAUAUUUCCUUGUAAUUAACAUGCAGUCCAAUUGUUGUGCACUAACAUUUGAUCGAAUAAUCUGUACGCCGUCGCAACGCACGGGCACUCACCUAGUAAUGUAUGAUGAUUAUAGGUAUAUUAGAGAGUAAAUAAGUACAUAAGAGCA